rnacentral:rRNA from 1 species
UACGUAGGGUGCGAGCGUUAAUCGGAAUUACUGGGCGUAAAGCGUGCGCAGGCGGUUUGUUAAGUCUGAUGUGAAAGCCCCGGGCUCAACCUGGGAACUGCAUUGGAAACUGGCAAGCUCGAGUACGGCAGAGAGGGGUGGAAUUCCGCGUGUAGCAGUGAAAUGCGUAGAGAUGCGGAGGAACACCGAUGGCGAAGGCAGCCCCCUGGGCCAAUACUGACGCUCAGGCACGAAAGCGUGGGGAGCAAACAGG